UGGGAAGCUCCCUCAAGUUGCAGAAACCACGUCUUUGUUACUCAGAUAUGGAUUUGCAGUACUCAGCCCAGUGUCCUGCGUAUAAGAACCAGAGGGUCCUGUCACCUAUAGUUUCCCCUGCUAGUUCACCUUGGCUAUCCAGAGAAACUCGAGGAGGUGGAAGAAGCCUGGGCCUUAAUGUGGUGACCACAGGAACUCAGCACAGCCUGGGAUCUACAGCAUUGGCUCCCCUGCCUCUCAGGCCUCUCGACUUGGACUGAAUUAAACCACCAGCUUUCCUGGGUCUCCAACUUGCAGAUGGCAGAUUAUGGAACUUCUCAGCCUCCGUAAUCACAAGCCAAUUCUUCAUAAUAAAUCUGGAUGGAUAGAUAGAUAGAUAGAUCCUCUGGAGAAUUCUAAUAAAAAAGUUGUAUCAUAUAUCUACCCACAUAUUUAUUCAAAAUGACAUAUUGAGUGCCUGUAGCAUAGUGCUAAGUACCCA
rnacentral:lncRNA from 1 species